rnacentral:rRNA from 1 species
GACGAACGCUGGCGGCCUGCUUAACACAUGCAAGUCGAACGGUGAACGAGGGAGCUUGCUCCCUCCGGAUCAGUGGCGAACGGGUGAGUAACACGUGAGCAAUCUGCCCCGAACUCUGGGAUAAGCGUUGGAAACGACGUCUAAUACCGGAUACGACGCGGGAGGGCAUCCUCUCCGCGUGGAAAGAACUUCGGUUCGGGAUGAGCUCGCGGCCUAUCAGCUUGUUGGUGAGGUAACGGCUCACCAAGGCGACGACGGGUAGCCGGCCUGAGAGGGUGACCGGCCACACUGGGACUGAGACACGGCCCAGACUCCUACGGGAGGCAGCAGUGGGGAAUAUUGCACAAUGGGCGCAAGCCUGAUGCAGCAACGCCGCGUGAGGGACGACGGCCUUCGGGUUGUAAACCUCUUUUAGCAGGGAAGAAGCGAAAGUGACGGUACCUGCAGAAAAAGCACCGGCUAACUACGUG